rnacentral:rRNA from 1 species
UCCGGUUGAUCCUGCCGGACCUGACUGCUAUCGGGAUGAGGCUAAGCCAUGGAAGUCGACGUGCGCCCUUGCGCACGUGGCGUACGGCUCAGUAACGCGUGGCUAACCUGCCCUCGUGACGGGGAUAACCUCGGGAAACUGAGGAUAAUCCCCGAUAGGCGAGCGGCUUUGGAAGAACCGCUCACCGAAAGGGACGGAGGAAAUGGCCUUCGUCCGCGCGAGGAUGGGGCUGCGUCCCAUCAGGCAGCUGGUGGGGUAAUGGCCCACCAAACCUAUAACGGGUACGGGCCGUGAGAGCGGGAGCCCGGAGAUGGGCACUGAGACAAGGGCCCAGGCUCUACGGAGCGCACCAAGCGCGAAACCUUCGCAAUGCGGGAAACCGUGACGGGGCCAUCCCGAGUGCAGGCUGCUGAGGUCUGCUUUUGCCCAGUGUAAGAAGCUGGGCGAAUAAGUGGGGGGCAAGACUGGUGUCAGCCGCCGCGGUAAUACCAGCUCCACGAGUGGUCAGGACGGUUAUUGGGCCUAAAGCGUCCGUAGCCGGCCCGGUAAGUUUAUGGUGAAAUCCGGCAUCUCAAGUGUCGGAGCGCUGUAAAUACUGCCGGGCUAGGGAGCGGGAGAGGCCGAGGGUACCUCCGGGGUAGGGGCGAAAUCCUAUAAUCCCGGAGUGACGACCAGUGGCGAAAGCGCUCGGCUAGAACGCGUCCGACGGUGAGGGACGAAAGCUGGGGUAGCAAACCGGAUUAGAUACCCGGGUAGUCCCAGCCGUAAACUAUGCGGGCUAGUUGUCGGAACGGCUUAGGGCCGCUCCGGUAACGCAGGGAAGCCAUUAAGCCCGCCGCCUGGGGAGUACGACCGCAAGGUUGAAACUUAAAGGAAUUGGCGGGGGAGCACCACAAGGGGUGAAGCUUGCGGCUCAAUUGGAGUCAACGCCGGG